UACAGAGGGUGCAAGCGUUAAUCGGAAUUACUGGGCGUAAAGCGUACGUAGGUGGUUUGUUAAGUCGGGUGUGAAAUCCUUGGGCUCAACCUGAGAAUUGCAUCUGAAACUAGCAAGCUAGAGUGUGGUAGAGGGUAGUGGAACUCCCGGUGUAGCGGUGAAAUGCGUAGAUAUCGGGAAGAACACCAGUGGCGAAGGCGGCUACCUGGACCAACACUGACACUGAGGUACGAAAGCGUGGGGAGCAAACAGG
rnacentral:rRNA from 1 species